rnacentral:rRNA from 1 species
GAUGAACGCUAGCGGCAGGCCUAACACAUGCAAGUCGAGCGGUUGACGGGAGCUUGCUCCCUGAUUCAGCGGCGGACGGGUGAGUAAUGCCUAGGAAUCUGCCUAUUAGUGGGGGACAACGUUUCGAAAGGAACGCUAAUACCGCAUACGUCCUACGGGAGAAAGCAGGGGACCUUCGGGCCUUGCGCUAAUAGAUGAGCCUAGGUCGGAUUAGCUUGUUGGUGAGGUAAUGGCUCACCAAGGCGACGAUCCGUAACUGGUCUGAGAGGAUGAUCAGUCACACUGGAACUGAGACACGGUCCAGACUCCUACGGGAGGCAGCAGUGGGGAAUAUUGGACAAUGGGCGAAAGCCUGAUCCAGCCAUGCCGCGUGUGUGAAGAAGGUCUUCGGAUUGUAAAGCACUUUAAGUUGGGAGGAAGGGUUGUAGAUUAAUACUCUGCAAUUCUGACGUUACCGACAGAAUAUGCACCGGCUAACUCUGUGCCAGCAGCCGCGGUAACAC